GACGAACGCUGGCGGCGUGCUUAACACAUGCAAGUCGAACGGAAAGGCCCUGCUUUUGUGGGGUGCUCGAGUGGCGAAAGGGUGAGUAACACGUGAGUAACCUGCCCUUGACUUUGGGAUAACUUCAGGAAACUGGGGCUAAUACCGGAUAGGAGCUCCUGCUGCAUGGUGGGGGUUGGAAAGUUUCGGCGGUUGGGGAUGGACUCGCGGCUUAUCAGCUUGUUGGUGGGGUAGUGGCUUACCAAGGCUUUGACGGGUAGCCGGCCUGAGAGGGUGACCGGCCACAUUGGGACUGAGAUACGGCCCAGACUCCUACGGGAGGCAGCAGUGGGGAAUAUUGCACAAUGGGCGGAAGCCUGAUGCAGCAACGCCGCGUGCGGGAUGACGGCCUUCGGGUUGUAAACCGCUUUCGCCUGUGACGAAGCGGGAGUGACGGUAAUGGGUAAAGAAGCACCGGCUAACUACGUG
rnacentral:rRNA from 1 species